rnacentral:rRNA from 1 species
GACGAACGCUGGCGGCGUGCUUAACACAUGCAAGUCGAACGAUGAACCACUUCGGUGGGGAUUAGUGGCGAACGGGUGAGUAACACGUGGGCAAUCUGCCCUUCACUCUGGGACAAGCCCUGGAAACGGGGUCUAAUUCCGGAUAACACUUCCUGCUCUCAUGGGCAGGGGUUAAAAGCUCCGGCGGUGAAGGAUGAGCC